UCGUAUUAUACUCGUAGCCCGCUGCAAC
rnacentral:sRNA from 1 species